UUUAACAGGCAAACUUGGGGAAAUCUAAGGGCGCAAAGCUACAGGGACUAAGGUUUUAUAAACUAUGUUAGCCAGUUGCCAA
rnacentral:ncRNA from 1 species